GAAAGUAGCUAGCCCUGAGAAUGAAGGUUGAUUUACUUUGCUGAAACUGGUUUUCUAACCUUUGUUGGUGAUUUGUUUCUGAAGUCUUGCUUUUUCUCCUUCUUCUUAAUCUGUUUGUGAAUAGAUGACUAAGUGAUCACAUCACCUAGAAAUGUGUGUGAGUCUCCUGAUUUUUGACCCAUGUGUGCCACAACUAGGAUGGAAUGAUUUCCCUAUCCUGAACUUGUUUGGGAAUACAGAAAAAAUGAUACACACAGUGAAAGAGAAGCUUUCUCCAUUACACUUGGGGCUCGGAGAUUAAGUAACUGGAAUGCAGUCUCAUGGGAGAGCCAUCGUUUGACUCCAGGCCUGAAUGAAGCAACCGAGACCACAUCCUGAAGAAAUUUACCUGUACACAGAAUAAAGGAGGAGAAAGGGGCAGGGAAGGAGAGUAAGUAGUUCAGUGUGAGUUCUGCUUUGCCCCAUGUCACCUCCUUGACUAAUUCUGAUUUCCUUGCUCACUUAAAACUCUCCUUCCCUGAGUGAGUAUAUUAGCUUCUAUUACUUCAUAACAAAUAACCACAAACUUAACUCAAAACAACAUCAUCUAUUUGCUCUCAGUUGCGUAGGUUCUACUUCUAUUCAGAGUAUGACAAGUUAGAAAUCAAGGUGUUUCACCUGGAGGUAGGUAGUAGGGGAAGUUCCUCUUCUAUAUUCAUUUUUCUUGUUGGAAGAAUUCAGUUCCUUUCACUGGUGGGACUGAUGGCUCCAUUUCCUUGCUGGCUGUCAGCUGCUCCUGGGUCCUAGAGUUUCUUCUCCAAUCCUUGCUAUGUGGCUUCCAUAGACAGUUCACCACAUGGAUGUUUGCUUUAUUCCAGGCCAGCCAAAGCUUGUCUCUUUCCUCUUCUUCCACCAGAUGGAGAAAAUCCUGUUUUUAAAGGCUCGCGUGAUCCAGUAAGCCUUACCUGGAUAAUCGCCCUUUCUUACAUUUAGCUGUACCAUGUAGCAUAACUUAAUGACAAGCCCAGAAAUUAGAGCAGAAAUCUUGGAGGCCAUCACAGACUUUAGCCUGCCAUGGUGAGAUAUCAUCUAUAACUAUUCAAAUAUUUAAUAUGUUAAAUGACAUUAGAAUAGGAAAUAAUUUAUCCAGAGGGGAUAUUUCAACUUUUUCGGUGUAUUGUUAAGCACAUAAUUAUAUAAUUAAUAGAAUCCAUGAGAAAGACAUUUUAGGGGUAGCACAAUAAGUCAUUUUGGGCUAACAGUGAAUAUGCAAAGUUAUAAUUAAAGAAUACACAAAUCAUUGACUGUAUUUAAUUUCUGGUUUAUGUGAUAAAUAUGCUAGCUUUUAAGUUAAAAUGUUUAUAUAAUGCUGGUCUACUAUCAAAGUUGGUAAUAUAGCAUUUAUACAGAUGAAAUUGUUGGAAAGAGGUUAAAUAAAUGCAAUUUCUCUAGGCCUGUGACUGCUGUGUGCCUCCUGGCUUUCCCCUUUUUAGAUGGUAGUGUGUAAAAAACUUGUCCUAUUCUUGUUCAAUCAUUGAAUAUGAAUAUUUGGGGAGCAAGUAGCUCAUCUCUUUAGAUAUUAUGUCUUUAGAUCAAAAUGAACGUUUCUGAAGAAGUUGUACUUGAGGAAUUACACCCAAGGAGAUUCACCUGAACCUUGACUGAUUUAGAUGAGGAAACCCUAGAGCAGAUGCCACAGUGUGAGAAAACUUGAAAGUCUUAGGGAAGAGAAUGAGUACAUCUUGCAUGUGGAAGGGUAGAAAGGAUGUGAAGUUUUGUAGCUAGAGAGUAAACUGUGACACAUUGUAUUUUCCAAAGAUGACCUGCAUUCUUUCUUUACAAUACUUUUGCUGUCAAAUAAAAGUCAGAUCACAUUUUUAAUUGCCCUCAAAACCUUGAUACUCCUCCCACUGAGUGGUAAAGUCCAUGUCCCCUCUCCCUGCAGUGGGUAGACUUUAGUGACUGCCUCAAUUAAUAGAGUAUGAGAAAAGUGACACUACUUGACUUUCAGACUAAAUCAUAAAAAUGCCAUGUACCUUUCCAUUGCUCUCUUGGGAC
ensembl:lncRNA